rnacentral:rRNA from 1 species
CCAAUAGCGUAUAUUAAAGUUGUUGUGGUUAAAAAGCUCGUAGUUGAACCUUGGGCCUGGCUGGCCGGUCCGCCUCACCGCGUGUACUGGUCCGGCCGGGCCUUUCCCUCUGUGGAACCCCAUGCCCUUCACUGGGCGUGGCGGGGAAACAGGACUUUUACUGUGAAAAAAUUAGAGUGCUCCAGGCAGGCCUAUGCUCGAAUACAUUAGCAUGGAAUAAUAGAAUAGGACGUGUGGUUCUAUUUUGUUGGUUUUUAGGACCGCCGUAAUGAUUAAUAGGGACAGUCGGGGGCAUCAGUAUUCAAUUGUCAGAGGUGAAAUUCUUGGAUUUAUUGAAGACUAACUACUGCGAAAGCAUUUGCCAAGGAUGUUUUCAUUAAUCAGGAACGAAAGUUAGGGGAUCGAAGACGAUCAGAUACCGUCGUAGUCUUAACCAUAAACUAUGCCGACUAGGGAUCGGACGGUGUUAUUUUUUGACCCGUUCGGCACCUUACG